UACGUAGGGUGCAAGCGUUGUUCGGAAUCAUUGGGCGUAAAGCGCGUGUAGGUGGUUAGUUAAGUCGAUUGUGAAAUCCCUGGGCUCAACCGAGGAAGUGCAGUCGAAACUAGCUAGCUAGAGAGCGGUAGAGGAAGGUGGAAUUCCAAGUGUAGAGGUGAAAUUCGUAGAUAUUUGGAGGAAUACCGGUGGCGAAGGCGGCCUUCUGGACCGAUUCUGACACUGAGACGCGAAAGCGUGGGGAGCAAACAGG
rnacentral:rRNA from 1 species